AUAAAAAGGUUAUUUUAAACUCAUACGUGUUACGAAUUACGUAGGGCAUUAGUGGAGAAACAGAUGCACGAAUGAAGUUAUGCAUCGACAGAAAAAUAAUUGGAUAUUCUUGCAUCUAGGCUAAAUUUUACGCUACGAGUUGAAAUUGUUUCGAUAGACUGGGAAAAAGAACUUUAACACUGUAUCAUUUGUCCCAUACGAUUCACACAAUAACAAGCUAUGCCUACCUCGGUAAAAUGGAAAUUCUUAUAAAAUUCAGACUUUUCGAUUCACAGUAAAGUUUUCUAACAAGUGCAACAGCAAUUAAUAUGGCUACUAAGAAUGUCGGACGGAUUUCGAUAAGUCGAAUCACGUUUCUCCAUCUUCAGUUCAGCAGCGCUGGCGCUAUCCGUUGGUAGAUCAAAACUGGCGCGCAAAUGCCCGUUGUUUCGUUAUCUUAGAAAUCAACAAAUCUUAAAAAACAGACAACAACGAAUACGAUGGAUGAGAUUCGCGAAAUAUUGGAGCUGACCGUUAUCAAAGAGUCAGAUUUGCAAAAUCUAACGCAAACAUUAUAUUUCCCAAUUGACAACAAUUUGGAGAUGUGCACAAAACUGUUGGAACGCGAUAUGAACACUUGCUAGAAACUAUCAAGAGAGAGGGGACUAAAGACAUUAUAGAAACAGAAACUUCUAAUUCCUGUUUGCUAAUACCAAAUCUAAACUUAUUCGAACAAAUCAAUGUAUUUAGGUAGAAAAUGCAAGCGUUACAAGUACUUCUGUAUAAGUGGACAAGGAAGGAAGCAAAUGGAGAAAGAGAAAAGGUCUACUACAGCAGAAUCUAUGUUCCGCCCUUUUUUACUUGUUACAAACAUUUCUUUUGCAUUUCAAGAACUUGACAAUGGACAAACUAAAUGUUAAUACUCUGCUGAUUAAAUACGCUAGAUGCUCGUUGAUAAAUGGAGUGAAAUAUUAUAGCUCCAAGCACGGUAAAUAGUCGAUUGACAAUUGUUCGUGAUACUGAAAUCAUUCGCGCUGUUUAUUUCGCUCGUGACCAUGAUACAUAGUUACAUUUACACAAUUUUAUAAAUGUCUUUGAAAUAUUAUUACGCACUGUGCUUACGUUUACGAUUCGUCGUCUGGCCGAUAACAGUAGCAUGAUCGAUCGUCGUAGACUACCCUCGCUUUAACACUUAUUCCCUUUUCAAAGAAUUGCAAUUGUAGUACAGAAAACAAUUGCCUGCACUAACAAUUACAAAUGGCUCGUAUGUUUAUCGUUCCGUCGUCGAUUAUAAAAUUUGCAUCUCGUGUAAUGUGACCGCAGAAUUUUAGCCGCGAAGCUAAAAUGAAAAAGCUUUUUAAUAGUCUUAUCAAGUUGAUUCAUUUGGUACAAGUAGUCCGAUAAAUUUAUGAAAAUUCGAAUCACUCAAUAAUAGGACGAUUUAAUUGAGAAUUCAUGUUGAGGAUAUGCGCUUCCUAAAUUUCGUUAUCGCUGUGAAUUUCAUAUUUCACGUACAGUCAAUUUUAUUUUUAAUUUAAUUUACAUCAUCAUAUAUUGUGAUAUGCGACGCGGCGAAGUUAUACCGCAUAGAAUAAAUUUUGCAACGAAACCGACUAUGGGAAUCAGCGUGAAUGCAAUUCUGUCGAACAGAAUUUAAUUAUAGUAAUAUUGUAAUAUAUUCUGUACGAAGAAUGAAAAUUGUCUUAUCGAAUCUUGUCAAAAUUUGAUCAAUUGUCAACGUCAUUGUAAAAUUAUCUCUAUUAGCGUAUCAUGUUUCUUUAAUUUACGAAUAAAAUAGUGUCUUGUGCUUGCGAUUGCGUAGCAACAUCGAACGUCGUACUUGUAUGUUAUAGAUCCUUGAUAAAAUGAUUAAUAAAUAUUAGUACACAAGCA